CUCAAUACAUUUAUUAUCACACUAUUUCAUAGAAUAGUGAGGACUACUAAUGCUAUCAUCUAGACCGUCACUUCAUUCCCCGACUAGUCCCGGCUACAUUCUCAUUUCCCGAAUAGAACAAUGAAAGCAAAAGGGUGAGCUCAACUAGCCCAGUAAGAAAUAUUAUGACUAAGAUAAUCCAAAAUAAUUUAUCGUUAGCCUUCAACAGUGUUAAACUGAUAAAAUAUAACAAACAACUGCAGCGGAACAAGCAAUCCAUUAGAAGAGUCAAGUAGAGCAUAAAUCUACUAUCUUCUAUGGUUUAAAAGGUUUUUCAUCACUUUUAUCGCUGAGACUCAGCUUAAUAAAUAAUCCACAUCAUCAAAUCACCCCUGCACUACGGCCAAGGAUAUUCUUUAGUAUCACGACCAUAAAUUAUCCAUGCACUACGGGCCAAGGAUAUUCGUGUAUUCAUCAAUGGUCAUGAUCAUGCCAACAACUGUCCAUCAAUGCACUACGGGCCAAUGAGGACUUUCACCACAUCAUUUGUAACAUUACGGUUAUGAUUAUACUGAAUAAUCCCUGGUCAUAAUCAUACCAAGUCCAUCUAUGCACUACAGGCCACAGAUGACUUUCAACAGAAUAUAAACAUGAG
rnacentral:lncRNA from 1 species